rnacentral:rRNA from 1 species
GAUGAACGCUAGCUACAGGCUUAACACAUGCAAGUCGAGCGGAGCGGCGGACGGGUGAGUAAUGUCUGGGAAACUGCCUGAUGGAGGGGGAUAACUACGCGAAAGCGUAGCUAAUACCGCAUACUAUUGGAGCGGCCGAUAUCGGAUUAGCUAGUUGGUGGGGUAACGGCUCACCAAGGCGACGAUCCGUAGCUGGUUUGAGAGGACGACCAGCCACACUGGGACUGAGACACGGCCCAGACUCCUACGGGAGGUAGCAGUGGGGAAUUUUGGACAAUGGGGGAAACCCUGAUCCAGCCAUCCCGCGUGUGCGAUGAAGGCCUUCGGGUUGUAAAGCACUUUUGGCAGGAAAGCGGUACCUGCAGAAUAAGCACCGGCUAACUACGUGCCAGCAGCCGCGGUAAUAC